CUGGGCUCCCAUUAAAUCCAAGGCUCCCAGAGGACUGAGUCCUUCACGGACCCACCCUUGUGCUGAGUCUAAGAACUCAAGGUGCUGUUGGAGGUGUUGCUGCAGGAGGGGACCAGCGGCUGCAGUGCAGAUUCUUCUGCUUGAGACUGGAGUGAAGGGGUCUGAAGACCUUGGUGGAGGAAAGGAAGAGGGGAAGACAAGGAGGAGAUUUCCCUUGGACUCUCAGCCCUCAAAGCAGGAAGCCAAAGCAUGUCCCAGGUCAUACAGAGCCAUGUGCUGCGUGUUGGACAGACUGUGUGUGUUUCCUCACGGGAGGAGAGCAAGAGUUUGCACCCAGCCGGGUACCAGGGCUGCUCAGCACUGCCCAUGCAGUGCACUUACUACUCCACAGAGGGCUGGGCUGACCCACCGGCCAUGGUGCACCCCAACACACGCCUGCUGCCCCAUGGGGGGCUCUACGGAGCCCACCCUGUGUUUGAGCACAUGGCUCCAAAGGAUACCCCUUUGGAGAGACCGUAUCAGCCAAAGGAGGAGGAGAACCCCAGUGUGGAUGCUGAGGCUCACCUGGGGUCUCUUACCUUGGACAUAGAGAGCCUCAACAAGAUGAUCCUAGAAAUCGAUCCGACCUUUCAGCCGCUCCCAUGCAAGCCAGUGAAGGAUGCAGGGAAAGCUGCUCCUCAGGGUGACACUGCUGCCACCAAGAAACAGGAUCCAGAGGCAAUAGACAUCAAAUACAUAGAGAUGACACCAGGCAGAGCCACGUGUCCCGAGCGGCUGCAGGGCUCCCCCAGCCCUUCGGGCACCCCGUUCUCGAGGUCCCCCCAGGGCAAUGGUUUCCUGUGCCAAAAAGGGGGGCUCAGGGGUAACUACAGCACCAGUGGCAGUGUGGUUUUCUCCAGCCCAUCCAGCCCCAGGCCAACCUCUGCAGCCUCCCCACCCCACAGCAGCGCAGCCGAGUGUGUGGCUGUGCCCCAUCAGUGCCGGACCGACAGCAUCUCCUAUGGCCCCGGCACCCCUGGCACCUCCCCAGGCCUCGACAACCUGCUGAAGCCAGUGCAUGUGGUGAGGGCACAGCAGAGGAGCAGCCGGGUGUCCAUGCUCUCCACCAGCCCUGGUUCGGACACCAGUUACAUCCUUGGAAGCAGCACCUACUCGCUCCAAGACGACUCGGAUGCUCACCCUGCUGCCUGCCCGUCCCCUGCCAGCUCCAUGGGCAGCCCCUGCCCAGCUUCCCCAAGCAUCACCUCUCACUCUGGAGAAGCUUUUGGGCUGAGUCCCCACCAGCACAGGGCAGAUUCCUCCACCAAAGCCAGCACCUCCCCAUCCCAGAAGGGACAGGCCAGCAGCUGCCCCCCCUCCAUCCUCAACUCCUCAGCUGACGUCCCAGUGCUGCUGGUGAACGGGUGCCUGGAACAAGGGGAUGCCUCUUCCAGGCUGGCCAAAGCCCCCCCAGCCUCUGCCAAGCAGGUUCCUGCUCCCACCUGCAGCCCAUCCUCAGGGCUCAGUGGCCUGAACAACGCGCUGUCAGCACCAGCACUCUCCUGCAUCCCGGACAGUCCCCUCAGGGCUGGGCAGCCGACCAUGAAGUUUGUGAUGGACACAUCCAAGUACUGGUUCAAGCCGAGCAUAACUAGGGAGCAAGCAAUCCAGCUGCUGAAGGACAAGGAGCCAGGCACGUUCGUGGUGCGGGACAGCACGUCGUACCGCGGCUCCUUCGGGCUGGCCAUGAAGGUUCUCGUGCCUCCAUCCGGCAGCCAGACAGGCGAUGAGAGCAGUGACCUCGUCCGGCACUUCCUCAUCGAGUCGUCUGCCAAAGGGGUGCACCUGAAAGGAGCCAGCGAGGAGCUGUAUUUCGGGAGCCUCUCUGCCUUCGUGUACCAGCAUGCCAUCACACCACUGGCACUGCCCUGCAAGCUCAGCAUCCCCACCCGAGAUCUUGCUGAUGGAGAAGACAGCCCUGACUGUGCUCUGGAAUCCACACUGGGCUUGCUGAAGAGAACUGCUGGUGAGGAAAUGAGCUGGGGAGGACACCAGGAUAAAGCUGAGCUGGUGAUAGCCACAGCCCUGGGCAUGCAGCCGUGAUUCCAGCUUUAAUCCUUACCUAUCAAACAAGAGGCUCUAUUUUCUAUGUCAUUCCUUCCGGCACCGUUCACAGCAGAAGCUGUCUUUGGAGCUGUGCAAGGCAGUAGGUCACCAAUGGGUGUUGCUGCAAUGUCCCCUCCUGGCUUUAUCACCAGCCUGGAGAUACCUGCAGGUUUUCUUCACCUCCUCAAGUGUGGCCUGCAGGGGAACAUGGCAUUUUUAAAGAAAGGAGGCUUUUGGUCCUCAGGAUGGUGGAAAACGCAGUUCUUGAGGUCACGAGGCUGAUAAAAGGCUGCAAUUCCCACAGUUUUAAAUAGCCUGUGAUUUUUAAGCCUCUCCUACUUGUAUGGAACUAAUAGAUAUUGAACAUCUGGGGUUUCUAGAGCAGGGAUGGGGCAGUUGAGGCUGGUUAAAGCACUGAUGGAAGGCACAUGGAAACAGCACAGCAGGAUGGGGAAGGGUCUUUACCUCUCUUCCACCACCGGUACCCCCAGCCUGGGUGCAGGGGUGGGUGGGCUCCAGCUCUUCAGUUUCCAUCAAAACAAACCUGACCCAUGUCC